UACGUAGGGUGCGAGCGUUGUCCGGAAUUAUUGGGCGUAAAGAGCUUGUAGGCGGUUUGUCGCGUCUGCUGUGAAAUUCCAGGGCUUAACCCUGGGCUUGCAGUGGGUACGGGCAGACUAGAGUGUGGUAGGGGAGACUGGAAUUCCUGGUGUAGCGGUGAAAUGCGCAGAUAUCAGGAGGAACACCAAUGGCGAAGGCAGCUCUCUGGUACAUGAUUGACGCUGAGACGCGAAAGCGUGGGGAGCGAACAGG
rnacentral:rRNA from 1 species